AGAAAGCCGAAUCCAACUCGGGAGCGGGGGAACCAUUGGGAAGAGGGCUCGCGUCGGCGGGCGUCUUCUCUGGGGUGAAUGCGCUAUUCCAUUCAGGAAAUCUGCAGGGGCAGCUUCUCUGUCCUAACCCGGCAGCUAACCUCGUAGGCGAAAAGAGAGAGGA
rnacentral:sRNA from 1 species